rnacentral:rRNA from 1 species
GAUGAGCGCUGGCGGCGUGCCUAAUACAUGCAAGUCGAGCGAACAGACGAUUAGCUUUCUCCUCUUACGUUAGCGGCUGACGUGUGAGUAACACGUGCAUAACCUACCUCUUUUUCUUGGAUAACUUCGUGAAACCUCAUCUACUACCGGCUAAUAUAUUCUACCGCUUGUUUCAAUAGUUAUUAUCGGUUUUUCUGUCUCUUUUAGAUGGUUCCAGGCGGGAUUAUCUAGUUGUUAAGGCAACUGCUUACAAAGGCAACGAUGCGUAUCCGACCUGAGAGGAUGAUCGGCCACACGGGAACUGAGACACGGUCCAGACUCCUACGGGAGGCAGCAGUAGGGAAUAUUGGACAAUGGGCGAAAGCCUGACGGAGCAACGCCGCGUGAGUGAAGAAGGACUUCGGAUCGUAAAACUCUGUUAUUAGGGAAGAAAAAAUGUAUAAGAAACUAUGCACGUCUUGACGGUACCUAAACAGAAAGCCACGGCUAACUACGUG